AGCGAACGCUGGCGGCAGGCCUAACACAUGCAAGUCGAGCGGCCGUAGCAAUACGGCAGCGGCAGACGGGAGAGUAACACGUGGGAACGUGCCCAUCAGUUCGGAACAACCCAGGGAAACUUGGGCUAAUACCGGAUACGCCCUUACGGGGAAAGAUUUAUCGCUGAUGGAGCGGCCCGCGUCUGAUUAGCUUGUUGGUGAGGUAACGGCUCACCAAGGCGACGAUCAGUAGCUGGUCUGAGAGGAUGAUCAGCCUCACUGGGACUGAGACACGGCCCAGACUCCUACGGGAGGCAGCAGUGGGGAAUAUUGGACAAUGGGCGCAAGCCUGAUCCAGCCAUGCCGCGUGGAUGAUGAAGGCCCUAGGGUUGUAAAGUCCUUUCGGCGGGGAAGAUAAUGACGGUACCCGCAGAAGAAGCCCCGGCUAACUUCGUGCCAGCCGCCGCCGUAAUAC
rnacentral:rRNA from 1 species